rnacentral:rRNA from 1 species
GACGAACGCUGGCGGCGUGCCUAAUACAUGCAAGUAGAAUGCUGAAGGAGGAGCUUGCUUCUCCGGAUGAGUUGCGAACGGGUGAGUAACGCGUAGGUAACCUGCCUGGUAGCGGGGGAUAACUAUUGGAAACGAUAGCUAAUACCGCAUAAGAGUAGAUGUUGCAUGACAUUUGCUUAAAAGGUGCAAUUGCAUCACUACCAGAUGGACCUGCGUUGUAUUAGCUAGUUGGUGGGGUAACGGCUCACCAAGGCGACGAUACAUAGCCGACCUGAGAGGGUGAUCGGCCACACUGGGACUGAGACACGGCCCAGACUCCUACGGGAGGCAGCAGUAGGGAAUCUUCGGCAAUGGACGGAAGUCUGACCGAGCAACGCCGCGUGAGUGAAGAAGGUUUUCGGAUCGUAAAGCUCUGUUGUAAGAGAAGAACGAGUGUGAGAGUGGAAAGUUCACACUGUGACGGUAUCUUACCAGAAAGGGACGGCUAACUACGUGCCAGCAGCCGCGGUAAUACGUAGGUCCCGAGCGUUGUCCGGAUUUAUUGGGCGUAAAGCGAGCGCAGGCGGUUAGAUAAGUCUGAAGUUAAAGGCUGUGGCUUAACCAUAGUACGCUUUGGAAACUGUUUAACUUGAGUGCAAGAGGGGAGAGUGGAAUUCCAUGUGUAGCGGUGAAAUGCGUAGAUAUAUGGAGGAACACCGGUGGUGAAAGCGGCUCUCUGGCUUGUAACUGACCAUGAGGCUCGAAAGCGUGGGGAGCAAACAGG